GACGAACGCUGGCGGCGUGCUUAACACAUGCAAGUCGAACGGAAAGGCCCUGCUUUUGUGGGGUGCUCGAGUGGCGUACGGGUGAGUAACACGUGAGUAACCUGCCCUUGACUUUGGGAUAACUUCAGGAAACUGGGGCUAAUACCGGAUAGGAGCUCCUGCUGCAUGGUGGGGGUUGGAAAGUUUCGGCGGUUGGGGAUGGACUCGCGGCUUAUCAGCUUGUUGGUGGGGUAGUGGUUUACCAAGGCUUUGACGGGUAGCCGGCCUGAGAGGGUGACCGGCGACAUUGGGACUGAGAUACGGACCAGAAUCCAACGGGCGGCAGCAGUGGGAAAUAUUGCACAAUGGGCGGAAGCCUGAUGCAGCAACGCCGCGAGCGGGAUGACGGCCUUCGGGUUGUAAACCGCUUUCGCCUGUGACGAAGCGUGAGUGACGGUAAUGGGUAAAGAAGCACCGGCUAACUACGUG
rnacentral:rRNA from 1 species